rnacentral:rRNA from 1 species
UACGUAGGGUGCAAGCGUUAAUCGGAAUGACUGGGCGUAAAGGGUGUGUAGGCGGUUUGUUAAGUCUGAUGUGAAAUCCCCGGGCUCAACCUGGGAACUGCGUUGGAAACUGGCAAACUAGAGUACGUAAGAGGGGGGUGGAAUUCCACGUGUAGCAGUGAAAUGCGUAGAGAUGUGGAGGAACACCGAUGGCGAAGGCAACCACCUGGGACGAUACUGACGCUGAGGCACGAAAGCGUGGGGAGCAAACAGG